GCCGGGCAUGGUGGCAGGUGCCUGUAAUCCCAGCUACUUGGGAGGCUGAGGCAGGAGAAUCGCUUAAACCUGGGAGGCGGAGGUUGCAGUGAGCUGAUACUGUGACAUUGCACUGUAGCCUGGCUGACAAGAGCAAAACUCCGUCGGCAGGGCUGGGGGUGUGGGAUAUGUAUACCUAUGGUACAGCUCAUCUUGUUUUGAGAGAGGAUAUUGCUCGGUCAUCUAGGCUGGAGUGCAGUGGCAUGAUCAUAGUUCACUGCAGCCUCAAACUCCUGGGCUAAAGCAAUCCUCCUGCC
rnacentral:lncRNA from 10 species